GGAGUUGUAGUUUAGUGGUAGAGCGCUUGCCUUGCAUGCAUAAGGCCCUGGGUUCAAUCCUCAGCACCA
rnacentral:tRNA from 1 species